rnacentral:rRNA from 1 species
CCUACGGGGUGCAGCAGUGGGGAAUAUUGCACAAUGGGGGAAACCCUGAUGCAGCCAUGCCGCGUGUGUGAAGAAGGCCUUCGGGUUGUAAAGCACUUUCAGUUGUGAGGAAAAGUGAGUAGUUAAUACCUGCUCACCGUGACGUUAGCAACAGAAGAAGCACCGGCUAACUCCGUGCCAGCAGCCGCGGUAAUACGGAGGGUGCGAGCGUUAAUCGGAAUUACUGGGCGUAAAGCGCACGCAGGCGGUUUGUUAAGCUAGAUGUGAAAGCCCCGGGCUCAACCUGGGACGGUCAUUUAGAACUGGCAGACUAGAGUCUUGGAGAGGGGAGUGGAAUUCCAGGUGUAGCGGUGAAAUGCGUAGAUAUCUGGAGGAACAUCAGUGGCGAAGGCGACUCCCUGGCCAAAGACUGACGCUCAUGUGCGAAAGUGUGGGUAGCGAACAGGAUUAGAUACCCCCGUAGUC